CCUACGGGGGGCUGCAGUGGGGAAUUUUGGACAAUGGGGGCAACCCUGAUCCAGCCAUUCCGCGUGAGUGAAGAAGGCCUUCGGGUUGUAAAGCUCUUUCGCAAGGGAAGAAAACUUACUCAAUAACACUGGGUGAGGCUGACGGUACCUUGAUAAGAAGCACCGGCUAACUACGUGCCAGCAGCCGCGGUAAUACGUAGGGUGCGUACGUUACUCGAAAUUACUGCGGGUGGUGCGGUAGCAGGCGGUUGAAAUCCCCGGGCUCAACCUGGGAACUGCGUUUGAAACUACAAGGCUAGAGUAUGGCAGAGGGGAGUAGAAUUCCACGUGUAGCAGUGAAAUGCGUAGAGAUGUGGAGGAAUACCAAUGGCGAAGGCAGCCCCCUGGGUCAAUACUGACGCUCAUGCACGAAAGCGUGGGGAGCAAACAGGAUUAGAUACCCCUGUAGUC
rnacentral:rRNA from 1 species